GUGCUCCCUUUGGCAGCAUAUACACAUAAAAUUGGAAUGAUACAGAGAAGAUCAGUAUGGACCCUGUGCAGGUAUGAUACGCAAAUUUGUGAAGUGAUCCAUAGUUAU